ACUGGACUUUCUCGUGGGGGCGGGGGUGGUGGAUGGGAGUGGUUAGGAACAGUAAAGUGGGGUGUGUGUGUGUCUGUGUGUACGUGUGUGUCUGUCUGUCUGUGUGUAAGACAGACAGAAACAGAGGGGGGGUGGAGAAGGGUGGGAGGGAUCUUUUUGGCCCCCUUUGCGUCUUGGUUUCUUCAUACGCUUCCGAACAUCUCAAACUAGCCAAGACCACUGCCCGCCUAGACUCCUUGUAGAGUCUGAGAAAAUUUGGCCUCGUUUUCCUGGGGCUGGGGAAUGAGCUCCGGAGGUCAAUAAAGCCCUCCAAAAAUGAUGAAUGAUUGAGCACCUGUGAUGAUGAUAGUGAUUACCAGAGCAAUUAAACAGUUUGAUUAAAUGAGCCAUCAUAACAAUGAUGUCUGCGGGAAAUCGGCCCUCACAUAUAAAGACAGUGUGGAGGGGCUGGCAGAGGCGCGGAGAGCGCGCCGGGAGAGGGGAUGCGACCCGUGCGGGUUUGGCUCCAGUAGCCAAACCAGGGGCGGCGAGCUCAGGGAGCUUCUGGAGGCAGUCUAGCCUAGGGUUUCUGUCUCUCUUUCUGCCUGGCUUCAAGCCUUAGACAACCGACCCGUCUGGAACACGAUGGACCAUAGGGUCCUUUCCCCCUCUCCUCCCUCCCCCCUUUUUCCUCUCUAGAAGAACUCCAAGAUUACAAAUAUCCACUUCAUUUGAUGCUGAGUUACUCGCCGACACAUAAGAAAAGGUUUUCUGUUCCUAUCCGCACUACUUUCCUUUGGAUUCUAAAGGAGGUCUUUAUUACAGUUUCCAGUGCAGACAGCGGACCCCGCACCCGCCAGCACCUUAGUCCUUGCAACUAGAAGCCAAUCCGGCCACCCAUAUCUCGCAGGCUUUCCGGUCCUGAUCCAGCGUGGUUCACUCCCAUCUUCUCCCUCUGAUGAGCACCUUGUGGGUGUUAAAUGUGUUGACGGUCUCCACGGGCGGUGUUUUGAAGGGGCUUAAAACUACAAUUGAGAAGUUUGCUGGAAAGAAACAAGACACUGAGAUUCCCAGUUAGCACAGCCUGGCUAAGUUUGAGGCCUGAAGGCCGGGUCGCCCGGUGUGAAUGGAAGGAGUCUUCUCCGGGAAUGGGACAGAAAGGCAGGGCACCAAACCUUUGCCAGAGGAAUGUGAGUGACUUCGGUGGAACACGUGCUCUCAGAACCCCACGAGAAAGCUUUCCAAGGGAUCGCCUCAGUCUGCAGACCUGCGCCCAAGGCGCCUGCCCAUUUUCUCCUUCUCAAUUAACCCGAGCUAUUCCCAGCAUCCCCACUAAAACAUUCACAAUCUGGAAAGAAGUGUCAAAGUGGGAGUAGGAAAGACCCCUGGAAAACCCACAGAGAGGAGCCAGACAACAUACACCGCCGCCGAGCAAGCCAGUGGUGCUAAACCCGAGUCGCAUGCUUCUUCCGGUAACCUAUAGACACUCCGCGGUGUGAGCAGAGGUUAGAUGAGACCGAGACCAGACAGAUGACUAGACCUGCCAGGCGCCUCAUCACAGAGCUGCUAUAUUCACUUAGAUUCUUUAUUUUUUCCCCUCUCCCUCUCCCUUGCCUGUCUUUCCUUCCCUUCUUUCUGUUUCCCUCAUCCUCCCUCUCACCCUUUCCUCCCCCCUUUUCCCUCACCCUCAGCCCGAGAAACCUCCAAUCUUUGCUUUAAGCAAAUGUCUUUCACUUACUCCUCUAAUACGAGGCCGGAGGUGAGUUAUGACUGCGUUUCCUAAGAGCCAGCUAUUGCUUUGAAGGAGAAAUGAUGCCACAUCCCCUAAGUAGUCACUACAGGUGUUAGAAACUUUGCCCUCUGAAUGUUCUGAACCAAAGAGUCUCAAAUCUGGGCCCCUCUCUAUGAAAAUGGCAAAAUCGAAUGGAAAAAAGCGGGAAGGGUGAGGAAUUUCUCCCACUCCCCACUGCUGAGGGAGACAGGCGUAGUUUGGUUGUAAUUAAUUGAAGAUUCUUAUUAGGUCAUCAUUAGUCAAUGUGCAAAUAAUUGCUGCCCAUUUUUACUUAAAAUUGACCAGCCUGAGCGUGAUAGAUCGAUUCAGAGGAUAAAAAUGAUGUAUCAAAACAUCAAUGUCGAUUAUUUGAAAUAUUGUAGUCGAAUUUUUUUUAUUGCUUCAUCGGUUAAGUGUCUGAAAGUGCGGUGUUCAAACAUAUAUUUAUGUUGUCAAUACUGUCAGAACUGUCAGUUUUACUAUACCGGAUUUGUACUACAUUUCAAAUUUGCUCAUUUGCAUAAAAUGCCCACCCUAGGAUUCCCCCCCACUCCCACCCCAUCUCUGGAAAAUCCCUGUCAGUUUCUUCAAAGGAUUCUGCAAUCUUUGCCUAAGCUAAAGUGGGCACUGCUUCUUUUACUCAAAUUCCCAGGGCCGAUUACAUGUCUUUUUCGCCAUUUCUAACUUUGGAAGAGGCACUCCCUCCUUUUUGCCCAACUAUGCCUAGCAUAACCUUUUGUCCAAGACAGCACUAGAGCAAUGCAAACACACAUUCUAGCUACAAAAUACAGCACUUGGGUAGGAAAAAUGGAUAAAACAGAUUCCACCCGACUUUCUUGGCCACCCUCAGAUAAACCCAGACGCCACCAAGCCUGGACGUCAGGGCCCGCUAUCAAAUUACCUGAAAGAUUGAAGUCUUCCAAGAAAAAUACAUGUAGGUGUAAAAAUACCUUUUCUUUCUUUCUUUACUUAAAAGCUGCGAUGGUAGGAGAGGAAAUAACACACAUAAGUGAUCUGCGCGUUUUACCUUUAAAAGCUUUUGAACCCCAUCGAAAGACACAGGUUGCAAGCAGAACUGACAGUUUUAAUUCUACCCAUUUUCCCGUAGCACGUCAGAUCAGAGGCACUCAUUUAUUUUAUGGGGUGGGGCAUUAGAAAAGCAGACAGGGUGAAUUCGAUUAUCUCCAUCCUAAAAAUCCCAGGGAAAUUAAACUCCCUUAUUGAAACGCAAACAUUCCAUUGCUCUGUACAAUUAGUCUAGACUAAUUGAAAUUUAUAAAUUCACAUUCUGCCUAAUCUUAUGCUUUUCAUCCCAUCAGCCCCCCCCCCCAGGAUUCCAGCUAAGUCUGGUAGGUAAGGAUGUGAUGUUGUUUUAGUAAGCCUAAAGCACUUUCAUUAUCCUUUUAAUGGGUUUAAAUAGGUCUGUUUGGACAUUCAAAGAAGCUACACAUACAAAGAUAGGUUGGCUCCGUGCCGUCAAUCCCAGCACUAAAAACUAUAAAAAACAAAACAAAACACAAAAAAACCUGAGCGUUCCUAUAUCCAUCCUUGCUUCGAACAAAUAAGUAAGUAAAUAAAGUGCAAGGCAAAAGAAAGUUUGUUGCCUGCAUCUGUAGGUCGUGGUGCGCGCGUGUAUAAACAUCUUGGAGUCAGUGUUGGUUGGUUACCUCCCCCGCCCCCGCACCCCAGGCAAGGGCGUAGAGAAAUCGCCUCCCCCCCGCCCCAAGAGUCGUGUUUACUUUUUUUUUUUUAAAUCUCUCGGCUAUGUAUGACAAGCGUUGCUUGAAGAAAUUCAUCGGCCUUCCCCAGAUACUUCCAGGUUUGCCGUAAUGAUCUGCAGAAGAGACCUGCCACCACUUUCUCACGUCCCAAGGUGUUGGCGGAACUCGGAGCGAGGGGAGAGUGACUGCAAUGCUUAAUUGCAGAGGGGAGGGCGGGGUGCCUCCUGGGAUCCGGGGCGGGGGUUGGGGAGAUAAGCCACAACCCAGGAAGGAUCUUUCAGGACGUUCAAGUCGCCAGUUGGAGAAUAUUUGGGCAAGGUAUGAUUGUCUUGUCCCCCUCCCCCAUCCCAAUGCCUUUGGGGAGAAGCGAUACCCUUGUGUAACAAUUAGCUCAGACAAUAAAAAUAAUUGGAAAAUCA